GCGGGGGUAGCCAAGUUAGGAAACGGCGCAGGACUUAGGAUCCUGUCCUCAGUGGUCCAGGGGUUCAAAUCCCCUCCCCCGCA
rnacentral:tRNA from 1 species